rnacentral:rRNA from 1 species
CAAUAGCGUAUAUUAAAGUUGUUGCAGUUAAAAAGCUCGUAGUUGGAUUUCUGGUGGGAGCGAUCGGUCUGGCGCUUAGCGCGAGUACUUGCAUCGUCUCCGGCCAUCCUUGGGGAGAGUCUGUCUGGCAUUAAGUUGUCGGGCAGAGGAUCCUCAUCGUUUACUGUGAAAAAAUUAGAGUGUUCAAAGCGGGCUUACGCUUGAAUAUUUCAGCAUGGAAUAACACUAUAGGACUCCUGUCCUAUUUCGUUGGUCUCGGGACGGGAGUAAUGAUUAAGAGGAACAGUUGGGGGCAUUCGUAUUUCAUUGUCAGAGGUGAAAUUCUUGGAUUUAUGAAAGACGAACUUCUGCGAAAGCAUUUGCCAAGGAUGUUUUCAUUAA